GGUGGUGUGGUGUAAUGGUAGCACGUGACGUUGUGGUCGGAAGCGCAAUAGAACCGUUUCAAUCUGGGUUCGAUUCCCAGCACCGCCA
rnacentral:tRNA from 1 species